GGUGAGUAGCGCGUGGGAACCUGCCCAGCAGUGGGGGAUAACCGGGGGAAACUCCGGCUAAUACCGCAUGCGCCCGGCGGAGUGAUCCGUUGGGGAAAGAUUGAUCGCUGUUGGAGGGGCCCGCGUCGGAUUAGCUAGUUGGUGGGGUAACGGCCUACCAAGGCUCUGAUCCGUAGCUGGUCUGAGAGGAUGAUCAGCCACACUGGGACUGAGACACGGCCCAGACUCCUACGGGAGGCAGCAGUGGGGAAUAUUGGACAAUGGGCGCAAGCCUGAUCCAGCAAUGCCGCGUGAGUGAGGAAGGCCUUAGGGUUGUAAAGCUCUUUCGGCGGGGACGAUGAUGACGGUACCCGCAGAAGAAGCCCCGGCUAACUUCGUGCCAGCAGCCGCGGUAAUACGAAGGGGGCGAGCGUUGUUCGGAUUUACUGGGCGUAAAGGGCGCGCAGGCGGUUCUGUUUGUCGAGUGUGAAAGCCCCGGGCUCAAACUGGGAACGGCGCUCGAAACGGCGGGACUAGAGAUCGGGAGAGGAGCGUGGAAUUCCC
rnacentral:rRNA from 1 species